AUUGAACGCUGGCGGCAGGCCUAACACAUGCAAGUCGAGCGGGGUUUUCGGACCUAGCGGCGGACGGGUGAGUAAUGCGUAGGAAGCUACCCGAUAGAGGGGGAUACCAGUUGGAAACGACUGUUAAUACCGCAUAAUGUCUACGGACCAAAGUGUGGGACCUUCGGGCCACAUGCUAUCGGAUGCGCCUACGUGGGAUUAGCUAGUUGGUGAGGUAAUGGCUCACCAAGGCGACGAUCCCUAGCUGGUUUGAGAGGAUGAUCAGCAACACUGGAACUAAGACACGGUCCAGACUCCUACGGGAGGCAGCAGUGGGGAAUAUUGGACAAUGGGCGCAAGCCUGAUCCAGCCAUGCCGCGUGUGUGAAGAAGGCCUUCGGGUUGUAAAGCACUUUCAGUAGGGAGGAAGCGUUGUGUGUUAAUAGUACACAGCGUUGACGUUACCUACAGAAGAAGCACCGGCUAACUCUGUGCCAGCAGCCGCAGUAAUAC
rnacentral:rRNA from 1 species